CAAAGCCAACUUGAAUUUGUAACCUUCAACAAUUCACUCUCUUCUGAUUGAAUUCUCAUAGAUCUAUUCUGAUCUUCAGAGCACGCGAUGGCUUCGACAUCCGAUCCAUAUAAGCAGGAGGCUGUUAUUAGGAAACAAAAUAAAGGAGCUCCUAUCAAGUUCUUGAUUCCUCUUAUAUACGCUCCUAUUCUUCCUUUAAUUCGAAUCUCAUUGAGGAGGAAGCCAGUUCUAAGGGACCGGUUGUUUACUGGUGUGUUGGUUGGUGCAUUUGCUCAUGGAUUUUAUCUGGUGUAUCCUUUAUUCUCUUCUAUAGUCUGUGCGUUGUGCAAUUUGAUUUUUACCUUUUUUUUUAUUGAUUGAAUUUUAAUACAUGAAUUAUUGUAGAACCAUUGCAUAUACUUUUUAUUGUGCUCAUAUUGUAUAUUGAAAUGGGAGAUUCGUGUUCCUUUUAUGUGGUUUGACCCUUGCAUAUUUUUUAUGUGACUUGAUGUUGCAUGUUUUGUUAUUAUUAAAAAGGUUUUCAUCCAUAAUUUUUUUGUAUUUUAUCUAGCCUCUAUGAAAAUGUAUAUUGGUUGUUUAGAUGGAAAUAUUUGCCCUUUCUGUUUUUCAUGUGUUGCAUUUGUAAAAAUAUUGUAAAAUUGGAUAUUCGAAACAUGUAAUCCUCAUUGAGUGUUGUUAAAUGAGUUCAUGUCUAUGCUGUUUCUUU